CAGAAAAUUCCUGCUGAUCGCAGCGCCAACACCUGUGAAUGUCCCAGCGCGCUCUCGACCGCAAUUAGUCAGUGGAACAGACCGGUUUUCUUCCGGUCCUGUCGAUUGGCGCAAUUGGGUCCUGCGCGGCAGAUGUCUGUGAACCCCGCUAGGUCCGUGAGGAAGCAACGGUAAGUGGACCUCUCUGGGUGUUGCAGGGGUGCCUGAUUGCGCUAAUCGGCAGGACCGGGCGAAAAUCGGUUUUCUG
rnacentral:SRP_RNA from 1 species